rnacentral:rRNA from 1 species
AUUGAACGCUGGCGGCAGGCUUAACACAUGCAAGUCGAGCGAGCCGCGGCCGGGUGAGUAAUGUCUGGGAAACUGCCUGAUGAAGGGGGAUAACUACUGGAAACGGUAGCUAAUACCGCAUACCAUCAGAUGUGCCCAGAUGGGAUUAGCUAGUAGGUGUGGUAAUGGCUCACCUAGGCGACGAUCCCUAGCUGGUCUGAGAGUAUGACCAGCCACACUGGAACUGAUACACGGUCCAGACUACUACGGGAGGCAGCAGGGGGGAAUAUUGCAAAAUGGGCGCAAGCCUGAUGCAGCCAUGCCGCGUGUUUGAAGAAGGCCUUCGGGUUGUAAAGCACUUUCAGCUAGGAGGCGUUACUCGCAGAAUAAGCACCGGCUAACUCCGUGCCAGCAGCCGCGGUAAUAC